GACGAACCGUGCGAACGUUGUUCGGAAUCACUGGGCUUAAAGGGCGCGUAGGCGGGCGCGCGAGUCCGGGGUGAAAGCUUUCGGCUUAACCGGAAAAGGGCCUCGGAUACCGCGCGCCUGGAGGGAGGUAGGGGUCCGCGGAACUGCUGGUGGAGCGGUGAAAUGCGUUGAUAUCAGCAGGAACGCCGGUGGCGAAAGCGGCGGACUGGACCUCUUCUGACGCUGAGGCGCGAAAGCCAGGGGAGCGAACGGG
rnacentral:rRNA from 1 species